rnacentral:rRNA from 1 species
CGAAACGGGAAGAGCCCAAACCAACAAGCUUGCUUGUUGGGGUUGUAGGACACUCUAUACGGAGUUACAAAGGACGACAUUAGACGAAUCAUCUGGAAAGAUGAAUCAAAGAAGGUAAUAAUCCUGUAGUCGAAAAUGUUGUCUCUCUUGAGUGGAUCCUGAGUACGACGGAGCACGUGAAAUUCCGUCGGAAUCUGGGAGGACCAUCUCCUAAGGCUAAAUACUCUCUAGUGACCGAUAGUGAACCAGUACCGUGAGGGAAAGGUGAAAAGCACCCCGGAAGGGGAGUGAAAUAGAACCUGAAACCGUGUGCUUACAAGUAGUCAGAGCCCGUUAAUGGGUGAUGGCGUGCCUUUUGUAGAAUGAACCGGCGAGUUACGAUUUGAUGCAAGGUUAAGCAGUAAAUGUGGAGCCGUAGCGAAAGCGAGUCUGAAUAGGGCGUUUAGUAUUUGGUCGUAGACCCGAAACCAGGUGAUCUACCCUUGGUCAGGUUGAAGUUCAGGUAACACUGAAUGGAGGACCGAACCGACUUACGUUGAAAAGUGAGCGGAUGAACUGAGGGUAGCGGAGAAAUUCCAAUCGAACCUGGAGAUAGCUGGUUCUCUCCGAAAUAGCUUUAGGGCUAGCCUCAAGUGAUGAUUAUUGGAGGUAGAGCACUGUUUGGACGAGGGGCCCCUCUCGGGUUACCGAAUUCAGACAAACUCCGAAUGCCAAUUAAUUUAACUUGGGAGUCAGAACAUGGGUGAUAAGGUCCGUGUUCGAAAGGGAAACAGCCCAGACCACCAGCUAAGGUCCCAAAAUAUAUGUUAAGUGGAAAAGGAUGUGGCGUUGCCCAGACAACUAGGAUGUUGGCUUAGAAGCAGCCAUCAUUUAAAGAGUGCGUAAUAGCUCACUAGUCGAGUGACACUGCGCCGAAAAUGUACCGGGGCUAAACAUAUUACCGAAGCUGUGGAUUGUCCUUUGGACAAUGGUAGGAGAGCGUUCUAAGGGCGUUGAAGCAUGAUCGUAAGGACAUGUGGAGCGCUUAGAAGUGAGAAUGCCGGUGUGAGUAGCGAAAGACGGGUGAGAAUCCCGUCCACCGAUUGACUAAGGUUUCCAGAGGAAGGCUCGUCCGCUCUGGGUUAGUCGGGUCCUAAGCUGAGGCCGACAGGCGUAGGCGAUGGAUAACAGGUUGAUAUUCCUGUACCACCUAUAAUCGUUUUAAUCGAUGGGGGGACGCAGUAGGAUAGGCGAAGCGUGCGAUUGGAUUGCACGUCUAAGCAGUAAGGCUGAGUAUUAGGCAAAUCCGGUACUCGUUAAGGCUGAGCUGUGAUGGGGAGAAGACAUUGUGUCUUCGAGUCGUUGAUUUCACACUG